UACGUAGGGUGCGAGCGUUAAUCGGAAUUACUGGGCGUAAAGCGUGCGCAGGCGGUUUUGUAAGCCAGAUGUGAAAUCCCCGGGCUUAACCUGGGAAUGGCAUUUGGGACUGCAAGGCUUGAGUGCGGCAGAGGAGACGUGGAAUUCCUGGUGUAGCAGUGAAAUGCGUAGAGAAUCGGCAGGAACACCCAGGGGGAAACCAGCCGGGCUGGGGACG
rnacentral:rRNA from 1 species